rnacentral:rRNA from 1 species
AUUGAACGCUGGCGGCAGGCUUAACACAUGCAAGUCGAGCGGAGAUGAGGUGCUUGCACCUUAUCUUAGCGGCGGACGGGUGAGUAAUGCUUAGGAAUCUGCCUAUUAGUGGGGGACAACAUUCCGAAAGGAAUGCUAAUACCGCAUACGUCCUACGGGAGAAAGCAGGGGAUCUUCGGACCUUGCGCUAAUAGAUGAGCCUAAGUCGGAUUAGCUAGUUGGUGGGGUAAAGGCCUACCAAGGCGACGAUCUGUAGCGGGUCUGAGAGGAUGAUCCGCCACACUGGGACUGAGACACGGCCCAGACUCCUACGGGAGGCAGCAGUGGGGAAUAUUGGACAAUGGGGGGAACCCUGAUCCAGCCAUGCCGCGUGUGUGAAGAAGGCCUUUUGGUUGUAAAGCACUUUAAGCGAGGAGGAGGCUACCUGGAUUAAUACUCUAGGAUAGUGGACGUUACUCGCAGAAUAAGCACCGGCUAACUCUGUGCCAGCCGCCGCCGUAAGAC